rnacentral:rRNA from 1 species
GACGAACGCUGGCGGCGCGCCUAACACAUGCAAGUCGAACGAGCGAGAGAGAGCUUGCUUUCUCGAGCGAGUGGCGAACGGGUGAGUAACGCGUGAGGAACCUGCCUCAAAGAGGGGGACAACAGUUGGAAACGACUGCUAAUACCGCAUAAGCCCACGGCUCGGCAUCGAGCAGAGGGAAAAGGAGCAAUCCGCUUUGAGAUGGCCUCGCGUCCGAUUAGCUAGUUGGUGAGGUAAUGGCCCACCAAGGCGACGAUCGGUAGCCGGACUGAGAGGUUGAACGGCCACAUUGGGACUGAGACACGGCCCAGACUCCUACGGGAGGCAGCAGUGGGGAAUAUUGCACAAUGGGGGAAACCCUGAUGCAGCGACGCCGCGUGGAGGAAGAAGGUCUUCGGAUUGUAAACUCCUGUUGUUGGGGAAGAUAAUGACGGUACCCAACAAGGAAGUGACGGCUAACUACGUG